GAUGAACGCUGGCGGUAUGCCUAAUACAUGCAAGUCGUGCGGAAAGGCCCCUUCGGGGGUACUCGAGCGGCGGACGGCAGAGUAACGCGUAGGAACGUACCCCAAACUGAGGGAUAACUGCUCGAAAGAGUAGCUAAUACCGCAUGUGGUCUUCGGACUAAAGCUUCGGCGGUUUGGGAACGGCCUGCGUUCGAUUAGCUAGUUGGUGAGGUAAAUGCUCACCAAGGCGACGAUCGAUAGCUGGUCUGAGAGGAUGAUCAGCCUGACUGGAACUGAGACACGGUCCAGACUCCUACGGGAGGCAGCAGUAGGGAAUUUUCCACAAUGGGCGAAAGCCUGAUGGAGCAAUACCGCGUGCAGGAUGAAGGCCUUCGGGUUGUAAACUGCUUUUAUGUGAGAAGAAUUUGACGGUAACACAUGAAUAAGGAUCGGCUAACUACGUG
rnacentral:rRNA from 1 species